UGAGUAACACGUGGGUGAUCUGCCUUGCACUCUGGGAUAAGCUUGGGAAACUGGGUCUAAUACCGGAUAGGAACCGUCUUUAGUGUGGUGGUUGGAAAGUUUUUUCGGUGCAAGAUGAGCUCGCGGCCUAUCAGCUUGUUGGUGGGGUAAUGGCCUACCAAGGCGUCGACGGGUAGCCGGCCUGAGAGGGUGUACGGCCACAUUGGGACUGAGAUACGGCCCAG
rnacentral:rRNA from 1 species